rnacentral:ribozyme from 13 species
UCUCAAUUCUUCUUCUUUUCGCUUUUGUGUUGUCUCUCUUUAUCUUUGUUUUAAAGAGAGAAGAAGAGAAGGUCAAACACCCACCAAACUAAAAAGAAAGGUGGACAAGGGAGAUUCUUCUCUUUUUUUUUUCUCUUUCUCUUUCUCCC